AAGCUUCGUCCAAUAGCACUGAGAAAUUCUGCUAUGAAAGAUGAUCGAUAUUACACUUGGCUGUAUAUGACCGUCUCAGUUCUGAUCCAACCUCCAAGGCAGUCCACAUGUCUGCUCUUCUAGGACCUGCAUCCUGUGUACAAAGGCAAUUGUGGCAUAAUGGGAAGAGUGCUGAACAUGGACUAAGAGGACACAGUAUGUUGCUUCUAGGGAAGAGGAACCAUGCUAUAAUGGAGUCCCAAGGAUUUUGAAAAGAACAAAAGAAUAGUAAUAGAAGAAUGUAAGG
rnacentral:lncRNA from 1 species